AACGAACGCUGGCGGCAUGCCUAACACAUGCAAGUCGAACGAGACCUUCGGGUCUAGUGGCGCACGGGUGCGUAACGCGUGGGAACCUGCCCUUAGGUUCGGAAUAACUCCCCGAAAGGGGUGCUAAUACCGGAUAAUGUCUUCGGACCAAAGAUUUAUCGCCGUUGGAUGGGCCCGCGUUGGAUUAGCUAGUUGGUAGGGUAAAAGCCUACCAAGGCGACGAUCCAUAGCUGGUCUGAGAGGAUGAUCAGCCACACUGGGACUGAGACACGGCCCAGACUCCUACGGGAGGCAGCAGUGGGGAAUAUUGGACACUGGGCGAAAGCCUGAUCCAGCAAUGCCGCGUGAGUGAUGAAGGCCUUAGGGUUGUAAAGCUCUUUUACACGGGAUGAUAAUGACAGUACCGGGAGAAUAAGCUCCGGCUAACUCCGUG
rnacentral:rRNA from 1 species